GACGAACGCUGGCGGCGCGCCUAACACAUGCAAGUCGAACGGAGUCAAGAGGAGCUUGCUUUUCUUGACUUAGUGGCGAACGGGUGAGUAACGCGUGAGUAACCUGCCCUGGAGUGGGGGACAACAGUUGGAAACGACUGCUAAUACCGCAUAAGCCCACGGAUCCGCAUGGAUCUGCGGGAAAAGGAUUUAUUCGCUUCAGGAUGGACUCGCGUCCACUUAGCUAGUUGGUGAGGUAACGGCCCACCAAGGCGACGAUUGGUAGCCGGACUGAGAGGUUGAACGGCCACAUUGGGACUGAGACACGGCCCAGACUCCUACGGGAGGCAGCAGUGGGGGAUAUUGCACAAUGGGGGAAACCCUGAUGCAGCGACGCCGCGUGGAGGAAGAAGGUUUUCGGAUUGUAAACUCCUGUCGUGAGGGACGAUAAUGACGGUACCUAACAAGAAAGCACCGGCUAACUACGUG
rnacentral:rRNA from 1 species